rnacentral:rRNA from 1 species
CCUACGGGAGGCAGCAGUGAGGAAUAUUGCGCAAUGGGGGAAACCCUGACGCAGCGACGCCGCGUGAGUGAGGAAGGUUUUCGGAUCGUAAAGCUCUGUCAGAAGGGAAGAAAUGCCGCAUGGUUAAUACCCAUGCAGUUUGACGGUACCUUCAGAGGAAGCACCGGCUAACUCCGUGCCAGCAGCCGCGGUAAUACGGAGGGUGCAAGCGUUGUUCGGAAUUACUGGGCGUAAAGGGCGCGCAGGCGGCCUGAUAAGUCAGAUGUGAAAGUCCACGGCUCAACCGUGGAAGUGCAUUUGAAACUGUCUGGCUUGAGUAUCGGAGGGGAGUGUGGAAUUCCCGGUGUAGAGGUGAAAUUCGUAGAGAUCGGGAGGAACACCGGUGGCGAAGGCGACACUCUGGACGAAUACUGACGCUGAGGCGCGAAAGCGUGGGGAGCAAACAGGAUUAGAUACCCUGGUAGUCCACGCCGUAAACGAUGUGAACUAGAGGUAGGCGGUGUUGAUCCCGCCUGUCUCGCAGCUAACGCAUUAAGUUCACCGCCUGGGGAGUACGGUCGCAAGAUUAAAACUCAAAUGAAUUGACGG